rnacentral:rRNA from 1 species
AUUGAACGCUGGCGGCAGGCUUAACACAUGCAAGUCGAGCGGAGAGAGGUAGCUUGCUACCGAUCUUAGCGGCGGACGGGUGAGUAAUGCUUAGGAAUCUGCCUAUUAGUGGGGGACAACAUUUCGAAAGGAAUGCUAAUACCGCAUACGUCCUACGGGAGAAAGCAGGGGAUCUUCGGACCUUGCGCUAAUAGAUGAGCCUAAGUCGGAUUAGCUAGUUGGUGGGGUAAAGGCCUACCAAGGCGACGAUCUGUAGCGGGUCUGCGAGGAUGAUCCGCCACACUGGGACUGAGACACGGCCCAGACUCCUACGGGAGGCAGCAGUGGGGAAUAUUGGACAAUGGGCGCAAGCCUGAUCCAGCCAUGCCGCGUGUGUGAAGAAGGCCUUAUGGUUGUAAAGCACUUUAAGCGAGGAGGAGGCUACUUUAGUUAAUACCUAGAGAUAGUGGACGUUACUCGCAGAAUAAGCACCGGCUAACUCUGUGCCAGCCGCCGCGGUAAAAC